rnacentral:rRNA from 1 species
AUGCACCUGUUCAAUUUAGCCCUUCUUGCCAAACAAGGGUGGAGGCUGAUUCAGAACCCGGAGAGUCUAUGUGCCCGGGUGCUCAAGUCUAAAUAUUACCCAAACGGCAACCUGUUGAACACCGUCUUUGCGUCGGAUGCGUCGCCUGUGUGGAGAGGUAUUGAAGCAGGGCUGGAGUUGCUGAAAAAGGGCGUCAUCUGGAGAGUGGGCAAUGGAAGAGAUAUUCAGAUCCAACGGGACCAGUGGUUACCAAGGAAAGAGGGUCUGAUGACCGCGGCAUUCAUAAGAAGAUCACGUCUUCGGUGGGUGAACCAACUCAUGCUCCCAGAUAUGAAGGAAUGGAAUGUUCCACUUAUCAAACAAAUUUUCUACCCUUUCGAUGCUGAUGAUAUAUGUAGAAUCCCAAUCCCUAGAUCGGAUGUGAGGGACUGCAUUGCCUGGCACCCUGAGAAGAAUGGGAUAUUCACAGUUCCCCCGAAGGUGAGAAUCUUCGGUUGGAGGGUUGCAACCAACACUUUGGCCACGAAAAGGAACAAGUUCAGGCGUACGAUCACGUUCGAUGUGACGUGCGAUAUAUGCGGCUGUGGGGAUGAGGAUGAACACCACGCAGUGGUGGGAUGCACCAAGAGUAGGGCACUCAGGCACAAAAUGAGGGAGGAGUGGGAUAUCCCGUCGGAAAAGCAUUUCCAGAAUACUGGCGAAGAUUGGCUACAGAUCCUACUGAGCUUCGUUCCAAAAGAUGUUCGCGUAAAAAUCUUGUUGCUGCUAUGGAGAUGCUGGCACCUCCGUGAAAAUUGCAUACAUGGGGAUGGAAAGGAGCCGGUUUUAGUAUCCGCCGCCUAUCUGUCGAAGAUGCAUGACGAAUGGAAGAACGUGGGUGUAGCCGGACAGGCGGAGGGGAAGGCGAUCUUGAUGGGUUUGCAAGCAUUGGCACCUCGCUAUAAUGGGAACAUUCUGAUAGAGAUUGACUGCAAAUCUCUAGCGGAUGAUCUCCAAGGAAACGGCCAAGUCAGGUCAGCAAGUUAUGGAUUGAUUAUGGACAUCAGAUCGCUGCUUGGAGGUUUUCAGAGCAAGCAGAUCACUCAUGUUGAUCGUCAGCGGAACUCCCUUGCACAUGAGCUGGCAGCAGAAGCUAGAAGAUCUGGGGACUUUUUUCUGAUUGCUGAUGUCCCUAAUGGGUUGCAUAACUUGAUGUUCUCUGAGUGUAACCCCCUACUGGAGUAA